ACACACACACACACACACACACACACACACACACACACACACACACACACACACACACGUGGCGCUCGCACGGUCUUGUCUCAUUGGCGGGCCAACGUCUCUGGGCGGGCCAGGCAGAGUAAGGGGAGGAGCUUAGAUGCUUUAUGACGACAUAAAUAAAGACAUUCCAAAUCA